rnacentral:rRNA from 1 species
AUAUCAAUAAGCGGAGGAAAAGAAACCAACAGGGAUUGCCCCAGUAACGGCGAGUGAAGCGGCAAGAGCUCAAAUUUGAAAGCUGGCUCCUUCGGGGUCCGCAUUGUAAUUUGCAGAGGAUGCUUCGGGAGCGGUCCCCAUCUAAGUGCCCUGGAACGGGACGUCAUAGAGGGUGAGAAUCCCGUAUGGGAUGGGGUGUCCGCGCCCGUGUGAAGCUCCUUCGACGAGUCGAGUUGUUUGGGAAUGCAGCUCUAAAUGGGUGGUAAAUUUCAUCUAAAGCUAAAUAUUGGCCGGAGACCGAUAGCGCACAAGUAGAGUGAUCGAAAGAUGAAAAGCACUUUGAAAAGAGAGUUAAAAAGCACGUGAAAUUGUUGAAAGGGAAGCGCUUGCGACCAGACUCGCUCGCGGGGUUCAGCCGGCAUUCGUGCCGGUGUAUUUCCCCGCGGGCGGGCCAGCGUCGGUUUGGGCGGUCGGUCAAAGGCCCUCGGAAGGUAACGCCCCUAGGGGCGUCUUAUAGCCGAGGGUGCAAUGCGACCUGCCUAGACCGAGGAACGCGCUUCGGCUCGGACGCUGGCAUAAUGGUCGUAAGCGACCCGUCUUGAAACACGGACC